ensembl:snRNA U6 U6 spliceosomal RNA
GUGCUCACUUCGGCAGCAUAUGCACUAAAAUUGGAACGAUACAGAGAAGAUUAGGCCCCUGCGCAAGGAUGACAUGCAAAUUUGUGAGGUGUUCCAUAUUUUU